AUAGAGGCCUACCAUGGUGGUAACGGGUAACGGGGUGUUAGGGCACGACACCGGAGAGGGAGCCUGAGAAACGGCUACCACAUCCAAGGAUGGCAGCAGGCGCGCAAAUUACCCAAUCCCGACACGGGGAGGUAGUGACAAUAAAUAACAAUACGGGGUUCUUUCGGAUCUCGUAAUUGGAAUGAGUGCAAUUUAAAUCUCUUAACGAGGAACAAUUGGAGGGCGAGUCUGGUGCCAGCAGCCGCGGUAAUUCCAGCUCCAAUAGCGUAUAUUAAAGUUGUUGCAGUUAAAAAGCUCGUAGUUGAAUUUCGGGGUUAGUAGGUUGGUCAUGCCUCUGGUAUGUACUGAUCUCACUGAUUCCUCCUUCCUUAUGAACCGUAAUGCCAUUAAUUUGGUGUUGCGGGGAAUUUGGACUGUUACUUUGAAAAAAUUAGAGUGUUUAAAGCAGGCUAACGCUUGAAUACAUUAGCAUGGAAUAAUGAAAUAGGACGUUCGAUCUUAUUUUGUUGGUUUCUAGGAUUGACGUAAUGAUUAAUAGGGAUAGUUGGGGGCAUUAGUAUUCAAUUGUCAGAGGUGAAAUUCUUGGAUUUAUUGAAGACUAACUACUGCGAAAGCAUUUGCCAAGGAUGUUUUCAUUAAUCAAGAACGAAAGUUAGGGGAUCGAAGACGAUCAGAUACCGUCGUAGUCUUAACCAUAAACUAUGCCGACUAGGGAUCGG
rnacentral:rRNA from 1 species